UCAGACGAUGCGUCAUGCAUAUCAAUAAGCGGAGGAAAAGAAACUAACAAGGAUUCCCUCAGUAACGGCGAGUGAAGCGGGAAGAGCUCAAAUUUGAAAUCUUGAAAGGUCACCUUUCACGAAUUGUAGUUUAAAGAAGUGUUUUCUGUUACGAUCGUAAUAUAAGUUCUUUGGAAUAGGACAUCACAGAGGGUGAGAAUCCCGUCUAUGAUUGCAAUUUGUAGCUUUGUGAUACACUUUCAAAGAGUCGGGUUGUUUGGGAAUGCAGCCCAAAACGGGAGGUAAAUUUCUUCUAAGGCUAAAUAUUGGCGAGAGGCCGAUAGCGAACAAGUACCGUGAGGGAAAGAUGAAAAGAACUUUGAAAAGAGAGUUAAAUAGUACGUGAAAUUGUCAAAAGGGAAGCGUUUGACACCAGUGUUGUUUUCUCGAAAAUCAAUUAAAAAUGGCUCGAUUUUGUAUUGUUUGAGACCUUAAAAGCUCACUGUACAUUUUUCGUGUCUUUUUUAAUGCACUUUUCGUUUAACAAGUCAACAUCAGUUUCUUUUGUUGUAAAAGGGUCAUUGGAAGGUGGCUUUCUUUUCGGAGAAAGUGUUUAUAGCCUUUGGCCUCUGCAAUCGGAGAGACUGAGGUCUGCAGCGUAGACUCUUCGGGGUUAGAUACAUUUGUGCUAAGUUAUAGCUUUUUAUAGACAACUUGUUGACUAUAAUUAGUCUUGUAGCUUACUCGCUUAUGUUAUUUUACCUACGCUUAGGAUGUUGACUGAUAUGUAGUCGUA
rnacentral:rRNA from 1 species